AACGAACGCUGGCGGCAUGCCUAACACAUGCAAGUCGAACGAGACCUUCGGGUCUAGUGGCGCACGGGUGCGUAACGCGUGGGAACCUGCCCUUAGGUUCGGAAUAACUCCCCGAAAGGGGUGCUAAUACCGGAUAAUGUCUUCGGACCAAAGAUUUAUCGCCUUUGGAUGGGCCCGCGUUGGAUUAGCUAGUUGGUAGGGUAAAAGCCUACCAAGGCGACGAUCCAUAGCUGGUCUGAGAGGAUGAUCAGCCACACUGGGACUGAGACACGGCCCAGACUCCUACGGGAGGCAGCAGUGGAGAAUAUAGGACGAGGGGCGAAAGCCUGAUCCAGCAAUGCCGCGGGAGUGAUGAAGGCCUUAGGGUUGUAAAGCUCUUUUACCCGGGAUGAUAAUGACAGUACCGGGAGAAUAAGCUCCGGCUAACUCCGUG
rnacentral:rRNA from 1 species